rnacentral:rRNA from 1 species
AUUGAACGCUGGCGGCAGGCCUAACACAUGCAAGUCGAGCGGAUGAAGGGAGCUUGCUCCUGGAUUCAGCGGCGGACGGGUGAGUAAUGCCUAGGAAUCUGCCUGGUAGUGGGGGAUAACGUCCGGAAACGGGCGCUAAUACCGCAUACGUCCUGAGGGAGAAAGUGGGGGAUCUUCGGACCUCCCGCUAUAAGAUGAGCCUAGGUCGGAUUAGCUAGUUGGUGGGGUAAAGGCCUACCAAGGCGACGAUCCGUAACUGGUCUGAGAGGAUGAUCAGUCACACUGGAACUGAGACACGGUCCAGACUCCUACGGGAGGCAGCAGUGGGGAAUAUUGGACACUGGGCGAAAGCAUGAUCCAGCCAUGCCGCGUGUGUGAAGAAGGUCUUCGGAUUGUAAAGCACUUUAAGUUGGGAGGAAGGGCAGUAAGUUAAGACCUUGCUGUUUUGACGUUACCAACAGAAUAAGCACCGGCUAACUUCGUG